AAAGACCUCCGACAACAUGAUUUAACAAACGUAUUCCCAGAAACCGAACCGGCAGAAAAAAGACCAAUUAGGAAAUUUGAGCUUUUUGUUUCCUUUCGAUUUAUUUACGUACACAGAAUCUUGUACAAAAAAAAAAAAAAAAAAAAUCCUAAUAAAUAUUUCACCACCAGCUCAUGUGUUUUUAAAAUGGUUGAUUAAUAACUGUGAUAUAUAUUUUUUUAGAAUAGGUUAUCAUAGUGUGAUAUUUUCAAACUGUAACACCCCUAAGAACAAACACUCCACCAAACCCAUAUUAAAUGUCCUACAAUCUCUCCACUUCCAUUUUAAUCUUGCGAAAUUGGCACAUAUGGUUCUGCAGAAGGAGGUAAAAGAGAUAAAAGAGAGACAAAAAGUCCAUCGUCUACAUUAAAUACAAGUAAUUAUAGUCAGGUAGGAGGAAAGCAGUUUCCUUUCCUCACUAAUGAGCCUUGCAGAUCUAUAUCUAUAUCUAUAUUUCAAGUGCCUUCUGUGCCUUUUGCUGAAAAUGAAUCAUUCGACAUCUGUUCCAUGGUAAUCCAACAAGCAAAAUCAGUUUCACAUCAAGACGUACGACCGUUAAGUCUUCCGUGAAAUGCAAACCGAAAGCUUUAAUUUGGCCAUAUUUAAUAUGUGCGCUAAUGCUACUCAUUACCGCUAGUGAUGGCAAGUGCAAUAAAAUAACACUUUUCCACUAAAUAAAUGGUUCGCCGUGCAUCUGGAUUUCAUAGCUCUGGGUUUUUUUUUUUCCCCCGAAGAAAUACUGCAUGGCCAAUCCGAACGCUGCGGCGGAGCAAACUGAAUAAAAUAAUGAAGUGCAAAAGAAAUAGUGAGUGAAGCAUUGCUGCAAUCGAAUCAGUUUGGUUAAGUAACCAUUGACUCCUGAUUCUCAAUGAUUCUAAUGUGUCUUGGUGCAACGUGCUAAAUUGUGUGAUUGGUAAACGUAAGCCGGGUUUACACUGUGCGAUUUCAGCGCUCUUUUCACGCUGUGGGAUGACGUCUAGGUCAUUAGGUCAUCGAUGGAUUUGCAUAAACGUGGACAUUCAUCAAACCGAGUUUAGUAAUAUAAAAUGCUUCCACUGUCUUAGAGGACUUGGGUCACGUGACGAUUAGGCCUCCGUCUGACGGUGACUCAGGUCAUGUUGGGCAUAAAAAGUCAUUCUGACAUAAACAGUAUAAUGAAUAAAUGUUUUUUCGUUGCAAAUGGGUACUCUGGUAAAGCUAGUGGUGUCACAUUACGUGCGUUUGACAUCAUGGACCAACGACUGGGAAACGGCUUAUUCCUUACAGUUAGUGAAAAAUUCGCUAGUGUUCCGUUAUAGAUGAUACGACCUUUCUAAAA
ensembl:lncRNA